UUCCGGUUGAUCCUGCCGGAGGCUACUGCUAUCGGGGUUCGAUUAAGCCAUGCGAGUUAAAUGUUCUUCGUGAACAUAGCGAACUGCUCAGUAACACGUGGAUAACCUACCCUUAGGACCGGAAUAACCCCGGGAAACUGGGGAUAAUACCGGAUAAGCCAUAGACGCUGGAAUGCCCUAUGGUUCACAGCUCCGGCGCCUAAGGAUGGAUCUGCGGUCUAUCAGGUUGUAGUGGGUGUAACGUACCUACUAGCCGACGACGGAUACGGGUUGUGAGAGCAAGAGCCCGGAGAUGGAUUCUGAGACACGAAUCCAGGCCCUACGGGGUGCAGCAGGCGCGAACACUUUACAAUGCGGGAAACCGCGAUAAGGGAACCCCGAGUGCCAGCAUCAAAUGUUGGCUGUCCAGAUGGUUAAAAAUCAUUUGUUAGCAAGGGCCGGGCAAGACCGGUGCCAGCCGCCGCGGUAACACCGGCGGCCCGAGUGGUAGCCGUUUUUAUUGGGUCUAAAGGGUCCGUAGCCGGCCUGAUAAGUCCUUUGGGAAAUCUGACAGCUUAACUGUCAGGCUUCUAAGGGAUACUGUCAGGCUUGGGACCGGAAGAGGUAAGGGGUACUCCAGGGGUAGGAGUGAAAUCUUGUAAUCCCUGGGGGACCAUCUGUGGCGAAGGCGCCUUACCAGAACGGGUCCGACGGUGAGGGACGAAAGCUAGGGGAGCAAACCGGAUUAGAUACCCGGGUAGUCCUAGCUGUAAACGAUGCUCGCUAGGUGUCAGACACGGUGCGACCGUGUUUGGUGCCGCAGGGAAGCCGUUAAGCGAGCCACCUGGGAAGUACGGUCGCAAGGCUGAAACUUAAAGGAAUUGGCGGGGGAGCACUACAACGGGUGGAGCCUGCGGUUUAAUUGGAUUCAACGCCGGG
rnacentral:rRNA from 1 species